GAAGCCAUCUUUUUACUCUUGUGUGUGGAGCUAGUAUUCUGCCCAUGUCAUCAUUUUUCUAGAAAGCCCCAGGGCCAUGUGGAAAAAGAUCAGAACAAAACUUUCUUUGUUCUGUGAAGGAAGUCUACACCCAGUGCCAAAAACAAGCCGGCUUUGUUAAUUUCCUCAAUAAAUACGGAUUAGGAAACAUCAUUUUUGCAGGUACGUAGAGAACAUCCUGGAGAUUUUUACAGGUUUUUAUUCAAGUGAAGGAAACAAAGAGAAACCUGUAAAUAAAUGGUUAACAGAGGUCCAAGACUUUUGUAGAAAAAAAAAAAACUGAGCAAAAUGAAUGUUGAUGACGUACAUGCUGUUCAUCUCUUGCCCCACUUUCCCCUAACCUUCAUGUAGAUUCACUUUUACAUGUGAGGUCCGCAUGUGAAAAGGUGUAGGCAUGAAACAAGUUUUUGCUGAAGUGUUCUGCUCUUGUGGAUGCUGAAUGCCAUGUAGCAUCUUUACUCCUGCUAAACAAAGUGUGCUGGAAAAAGCACUGACUGGAAAGGCCGCCUUCCACUCACUCCAGGCAAAGUCUUCAAGGCAGAUGGUGUUACCUUCAUUUUAAAGUAUAAAGUGAUCCAGAGAGGUCAGGGUCAUAGCACUAGGAAGUGGUGAGAACAGAUUUUGAAUAAGUACUUGGCUUUCAACAUCUUCUACCUUACAAUUACUUCAUUUUGUGCUGAAGGAGGCCAGAAUAUCAAAGCCUAGAUUGAUGCUUAUCUGGAGAACAGAUUAAAGUUUGGAAGCAGAAUAAAUGCUCUGCUCCCAUCAAAAGGAUCCAUUAAAGUAGAUAAAGAAUAAACUAAAAUCACUAGCUAUAAUAGUGCAGUGUUAAAUGAAUAUCAAUGUAUUAAUUCCUAAGGUUAUUCUCCAGAGAGCUUUGCAUGAAUGGAACUCCAGUCGGCAACGAUUUUGAAUCCACUGAAUUGGAAAAGUUUAAUAUUCAGUACAUAGACAAAAAAGAUGAACAUUUUAUUACAUUUAUUCUGAGUUUAUUUCUUGACAGUAAUGGAAAUAUAAAAAAGAUGAAGUAUACAGGGCCUCUUUAGCCUCAUAUUUAACUAUUGUUCAUAUGAAUGUAGCUAACCUCAAUAGAAUAGAAUUAAUAAGCAAUCAUAUGGUUGGGUACAAGCUCAAUUUUUAAACAUUUUCUAAAAUAGCCAGGAACAUAAAAAUUCAAGGUAUUAUAUUUAAUGAAAAAAAUGUUCAAUAAAAUGAACAUUUAUAUGUUGUUUUUCAUAAGUUAGUCAGAAUUUAGAUGUUUUUGAAAUCAAAAGUGAAACAACCAGAAGACAAGAAGUGGAUACAAAGCGCCCUGCUCACAAGUACGCUGCUUGUAAUUAAUAGGCAAUGGAGUGGCACUAGGUUCAGGAAUAGUUGGCCAGCACAAGUCAGACUCCUUGAAUUUUAGUGAUUUGAAUUCCCAGUUUUCUUUUUAAAGAUAGAGAAAGACUAUGAAGCUGGGUGAGUAGGGAGGAAUUAGAGAGUCUGUGAGGAGUUGGGGAACUGGCAAGAACAGGAUAAAAUAUAAAGUAUAAAAAUCUCAAGGUUUAUUAAAAAGUAAGAUGACCAAUCAGGACUGUACAGAGCAGACAGACCCAAGGACUCAGUGGAAUGGCCCAAGUGUGGGGAGACUGGUCGACAUUAAGCAGAAUUGUUUCAAGGGGAAAUUUUCUAAUUAUCACUGGCAUCCUUUUCUUAGACUAUGGUCCCUCUGGGAAUACUAGUGUCGUUGAAGAGGGUAGCAAAGUAUUCUAAGAACAGUUCCUCUGGCUGGAUCUGAUUCUUCCAAAUUCCUAAUUUAGCUGAUCUAAGGAGUUAGGGUGAAAGAAACCAAGAGGGCUCCUGUCAGACUUCUCUCUGGACUUGUUCUUUAAAUGUAAGAAUAGGACAAAUAAGAAAAUUACUUUGUUAAAAGGAAAAAUGUUAGAAAUAUACAUUUAUAUUCGAACAAUUAAAAGACUCAAAUGCUUUCUACAGAAAAGCUCCCCGACAAUUCCUUUUUCCUGGCCCACCUCCAUCAAAGAGUCAUUCAAUUUAAACUCCCCUGGUAACAAAACCAAGUAUCUACAUUGCACAAUUAUUUUACUACAUCAGUCCUGCCUGGUCCUAGUCAACUGUGAAAAGAAAUGGGGAAUUACUUAUACCCACUUAAAGUCUAGUUAUUCCAGCCAUCUUCUCUGUUUCUAUGUUACUUGUUAUGAUCUCUAAGGUAGGAAUCAGUAUCUGCUAACACACAGAGAGGGGAGUUUUUGGGAAUAAAUGGAACAAAUUAUUAAGUGAAGAAAGGUCAUACCAAAUGGCCUUUGUUUUAUUAAUGAAUGAUAAAUUUUUCAGUGUGGUGCCUAUCAGUGUCUCUUUAAAAUAAAUAAAUUAAACCAUUGCUCCAAACAAACGGAGAAUGGCCAACUGGUCUAAACUGAUUGACCAGUUCUCCAUUGACCAUGCGUAUUGGUGGGAUGGUGGGAUUCAUUCUUCAUUAUUUGC
rnacentral:lncRNA from 1 species